AUACUUACCUGAUGGGAGGGAGAGGGGGAAGAUACCAUGAUCAUAAAGGUACUUUACUCAAGGUGAGGCUUAUCCAUUGCUCUCUAAAGUGUUGACCCCUGUGAUUUCCCCAAAUGUGGGAAACUCAACUGCUUAAUUUGUGGUAGUGGGGUACUAUGUUCUUGCUCUCAAA